rnacentral:rRNA from 11 species
GGUACAGUCUAAAUGCUCUAAAGCCAAAAGAUCCCAUCUGAUCUUGGAAGCUAAGUAGGGUCAGCCCUAGAGAGUACUUGGAUGGAAGACUGCCAACAAACACCAUGUAGGCUAUAUUU